GUGAGUGCGGGUCGAUCCACGCUCGUCUCGCUCCCGAGAAAGAUAAAGCAGAGAGAGAGAGAGAGAGAGAGAGCGCAAGCGUGAUCCCGAAGCGACGGGGAACUCGACGGGGCGCGGCGGCGGCGGCGGACGCAGAUCGGCGAUGGCCGCAGCAUCCAAGGGCGCGGGCGCGGCCUCGCCCUCCUCCUCCCUCGCCGGGGGUGGCGCCUUCAACCCGCACGACCUCGCCCGUGAUCCGCCGCCGCUCCGCCUUUCGCGUGACCAGCUGAAGUACUGCUCCGAAGCCCUCGCCUUCUUCAGGAAGGAGCUCCGAAAUCGCUCGAAGAUCGCCCAGGAAUUCGACAAGCUUCAGGCCAUGAGGCUAACAAGGGAUGAGACUAUAAGAAGGUGUACUGUUGCUCUUGAAAAUGCCAACUUGGACAAAAACCGCUAUAUAGACGUCUUGCCGUUUGACAAUGCCCGGGUAAUACUUAAUUCAACAAAAGACAACAGAUCUGUGGGGGAUGGCUACAUCAAUGCAAGCUUUGUUACGAGUGGUUCCACUGGGAAGGUUUCACAGUUUAUUGCAGCCCAGGGUCCACUUCCUGAGACAUUUGAAGAUUUCUGGGAGAUGAUCAUCCAAUAUCACUGCCCUGCGAUUGUUAUGCUUACUCUCUUUGACAAUCCAAAGAUGAUGGGAAAAUGUGCCGAUUAUAUCCAAGUAGAGAAUGGGUUAAGAGAAUUUGGAACAGUAAAUGUUCUGGCCAAGACUACUAAAGUGACUUCCUCUUCAUUAGUGCUCCGUUGUUUGGAGGUUCAACGCAAGGAGUCAGGAGAGCCUGCACUGCCUGUUCUCCAUAUCCAGUACCCUGAAUGGCCUGAUCAUGGAACUCCUGAGUAUACAGUAACUGUACGAGAAAUCUUUAAAAUGUUAUAUCACGUCCCCCCAGAUCUCGGUCCUAUAGUUGUUCACUGCAGUGCAGGUAUUGGAAGAACUGGUACAUACUGUACCAUUCACAAUACUAUCCAACGGAUUCUCCUUGGUGACAUGUCUUCUUUAGAUCUUGUGAAAACUGUUGCUGAUUUUAGAUCUCAGCGCAGUGGAAUGGUCCAGACAAUGGAUCAAUACUUCUUUUGCUAUGCGGCGAUUGCUGAUGAAUUGGAAGACCUGGUGUUGAAGUCCAAUCAGUAGGAAGAUGUUCUCGAAAGGGCCAAAUGUUUCGUUAUUAAAGAAGAAAUCUUAAAGCAGGCAAGUCAGAAGUCGAUUGUUGAUUCAGUCUUGGAUUAUGAUAUCCUCGAGCUGUGAAAAUGUUGUGCCCACAUGAUGGUAAUAUACAUUAAUAUUGAGGAGGCAGCUACUUUUUCCUAGUCUCACUGAUAAAUGAGGUUCGCUCCUUCGUGACGGAUUUCGCUGCUCACUUUACUGCAGAAUUUAAAUCAAUUCUUUGUAGCAGAUACCUCGUUGUUAUCAAGAAUUACCAAAAUAUCACCACCUAAUUAUAACUUGACAGCACUACGCCGAAGCAUCCUGACAAGUAUUAAAUAUUCUCAUGGUAUUAUUAUCUUACGAGAUAAGCAUUGUUAGUAUCUCCUAGGGUUCUGCUUUUACUUAAUCAACAUUAUCUUUCUGAAUUCUGGUUUACUAAUCUAUGCUACAGUUAUUUCUUGCCUUGCAUAUCAUCCGAUGUCGACGAAUGCGCUAACGUGUUUUCUUUUUUUGAAGGAAGAGAGCAUUACCUCAAGGUUAAAAAAAGAAAAAAGAAAAAAGGGCCUAUGUAAAGGUUAUCGUAAGCAUGAGAAUAUCCAAACAUCAGCAGCUAUAUUUGACACAAGUGGAGAUAAGCCUGUUGGGUUUCUGCUUCUGGUGCUUGGUACCUGGGGGAUGAAACUUUGAGAGGGCUUCUUUUCCUCUAGACCCAACUCCGUGACCGUCCCGACCUGACCUGCUCAGCUUCAGCUUUAACGGGUCGUGCUGUGCCGGGUCGUGCCGUGCCGGAUCUGAAAAUCUGGGCUGAGCUCGGGCUUUAGCUUUUCUCGAUUGAUCCGCGUUUGAAAUGAGUGUUUUUUUUUUUUUUUUCAAUUUGACUCAGAUCCGGUCCUAUCCGGUCAAUAUCUAACCCCUCGUGGAACUUGCUGUGCAUUUACCUCGCCACCUGUCCUCCGCGUGUUGCUCUAAUUGAUAGACUUAGAUGAAGGGUGCAUUAAUAAAUUGUUCUAUAAAAGUUAUAUUUAAA